GACGAACGCUGGCGGCGUGCCUAAUACAUGCAAGUAGAACGCUGAAGGAGGAGCUUGCUUCUCUGGAUGAGUUGCGAACGGGUGAGUAACGCGUAGGUAACCUGCCUGGUAGCGGGGGAUAACUAUUGGAAACGAUGGCUAAUACCGCAUAAUAGCAGUUGUUGCAUGACAACUGUUUGAAAGGUGCAAUUGCACCACUACCAGAUGGACCUGCGUUGUAUUAGCUAGUUGGUGGGGUAACGGCUCACCAAGGCGACGAUACAUAGCCGACCUGAGAGGGUGAUCGGCCACACUGGGACUGAGACACGGCCCAGACUCCUACGGGAGGCAGCAGUAGGGAAUCUUCGGCAAUGGACGGAAGUCUGACCGAGCAACGCCGCGUGAGUGAAGAAGGUUUUCGGAUCGUAAAGCUCUGUUGUAAGAGAAGAACGAGUGUGAGAGUGGAAAGUUCACACUGUGACGGUAUCUUACCAGAAAGGGACGGCUAACUACGUG
rnacentral:rRNA from 1 species